rnacentral:rRNA from 1 species
GGAGAAACGGUAGCCUUGGUUAACCCGGGUACCAAUGUUGGCGGACGGGUGAGUAAUGCUUAGGAAUCUGCCUAUUAGUGGGGGACAACAUCUCGAAAGGGAUGCUAAUACCGCAUACGUCCUACGGGAGAAAGCAGGGGAUCUUCGGACCUUGCGCUAAUAGAUGAGCCUAAGUCGGAUUACCUAGUUGGUGGGGUAAAGGCCUACCAAGGCGACGAUCUGUAGCGGGUCUGAAAGGAUGAUCCGCCACACUGGGACUGAAACACGGCCCAGACUCCUACGGGAGGCAGCAGUGGGGAAUAUUGGACAAUGGGGGGAACCCUGAUCCAGCCAUGCCGCGGGUGUGAAAAAGGCCUUAUGGUUGUAAAGCACUUUAAGCGAGGAGGAGGCUACUUUAGUUAAUACCUAGGGAUAGUGGACGUUACUCCCAAAAAAAGCCCCGGCUAAUUCUGGGCCAGGAGCCGCGGUAAUACAGAGGGGGCAAGCGUUAAUCGGAUUUACUGGGCGUAAAGCGUGCGUAGGCGGUUUAUUAAGUCGGAUGUGAAAUCCCCGAGCUUAACUUGGGAAUUGCAUUCGAAACGGGUGAGCUAGAUUAUGGGAAAAGGAUGGUAAAAUUCCAGGUGUAGCGGUGAAGUGCCUAAAAAUCUGGAGAAAUACCGAUGGCGAAGGCACCCAUCUGGCCUAAUACUGACGCUGAUUUACAAAAGCAUGGGAGCAAACAGGAUUAAAUACCCUGGUACCCCAUGCCGUAAACGUAUCUACUAACCGUUGGGGCCUUUU